AGGGUGUAAACGCUGCAGACUUGGUGUUGGAAGUCCUUUGGGGGCAUUCAGUGCCGGAGAGAAGUUGUUAAGUCUGCUACUUGGGAGUACGUCCGCAAGGAUGAAACUUAAAGGAAUUGGCGGGGGAGCACCGCAACGGGAGGAGCGUGCGGUUUAAUUGGAUUCAACACCGUAAAACUCACCAGGGAAGACUGUUACAUGAAGGCCGAGAUGAAGACUCUGCUAGAUUUUCAGAGAGGUGGUGCAUGGCGUAGACGUCU
rnacentral:rRNA from 1 species